rnacentral:rRNA from 1 species
CGGGACGGGUGAGUAACGCGUGGGUAACCUGCCUUGUACUGGGGACAACAGUUAGAAAUGACUGCUAAUACCGCAUAAGCGCACAGUAUCGCAUGAUACAGUGUGAAAAACUCCGGUGGUACAAGAUGGACCCGCGUCUGAUUAGCUAGUUGGUAAGGUAACGGCUUACCAAGGCGACGAUCAGUAGCCGACCUGAGAGGGUGACCGGCCACAUUGGGACUGAGACACGGCCCAA